GACGGAGGGUGCUAGCGUUGUUCGGAAUUACUGGGCGUAAAGGGCGCGUAGGCGGCCUGGUCAGUCGGAUGUGAAAGCCCGGGGCUCAACCCCGGAACGGCAUCCGAGACGGCCAGGCUGGAGACCGGGAGAGGUGAGUGGAACUGCGAGUGUAGAGGUGAAAUUCGUAGAUAUUCGCAAGAACACCAGUGGCGAAGGCGGCUCACUGGCCCGAUACUGACGCUGAGGUGCGAAAGCGUGGGGAGCAAACAGG
rnacentral:rRNA from 1 species